AGCCUUCUCUCUCCUACGCCGUGCUCACGCAUUGGUUCAGGCUCUGACGUAGGAAUUCCACUACAACCUGCAAGUCACGAUAACUCAGCAUCUCCAUCUCAGGGCUGUACCUUUUGGCCUUGCAGGAAAGAAGAAUCUCAGCUUGCACUUCCAGUACCCACAGAAACACAUGCUAUGCAGCCUAAAAAAUAUACAGGAUGCAUAUGUGUCUGAUGAUUCUCCUGCCGCUGCUAACUUUGGCCUCAGAAAUACUACCUGCAUUUAAAACCACACACUCUUCACUCUUAUAAUUUACUAGUAUUGUCAUUCUAAAUAUAUCCCAAACUGCAAAUUAAAAGACAGCUUUCCCAAAUGA